CGUAACAUUUCAUGAAAACAAACGUGAUUUUAGUUGUUAAUAUACAGUUAGCAGUGUGGUUAAGGUUAGUUUUAAAAUCAGAAUUUAAAUUGUAGAAAUAGGCGGGGUUUAUGACUUUGUUAACGAGUGACAACCACUCUCAUUGGCCAGACCGCGUGUGUGUAAUUUACACAGUAAGUGGUGCGCGGCUCAGUCAAAACAUUGAUGAUACCUGUUGUUGAUGCUUGAAAGAUUCCACGCAAAACUUAUCUGGCACUCUGAAAUAUUUGGACAACGUGUACUCAUGACGAAAAGGCGAGCUGAAGACGUUUUGUUCCACGACACGCCUGUUAAAAGAUCAUGUUUUCGUCCGCUUGACAAAUUUGAUACGCAGUUAGAAAGCAUGGCUGCAGCCGGGUGCGUGAGUCCGCCAUCUCUGCUCGCUUUGUUGGGGAGACGCUGCAAAAAGAGACCGUAUUAUUUCGAAGAUCAGGAGGAACAUCAAGAAACACUUAAACUUCGUAAGCUGUCAAAUAGUGACCAUCGGGUCAGUGCACCACAGAGUGUGCUGGUAAAGAAUUCUGGAAGUUUCCGAGAGAGUGCAUCUGCGAACUCUGGUUGCUCAACGGUGACCUCUAAGAAACGUGCACGAGAUAACACUGUCACAAGAUACGAUGCUCCAAGGAUUGUCACACACAAAGAUGAUGAUGGCAAUGACCUAUGCACUUUCAACUCAUUCCAGUACUGGAGGGUCCCUCUACCUGAGCUGGACAUUUCACUCCUUCAGAAUGGAAACCUCUCUGGAUCAAAUGGAGAACCCCCUGCCAAAGAAUUAUCCUGUGAAGCCAUGGAGUCAUAAAUUUUAAUUCAUGGUCUGCCCACCAUGGAACUCUUAUAUGAGAGGUGGCCACCAGUGGAGGCUGGUGGGAGAAGCUAUAGGAGGACUGGCUUUUUGUAAUGGCUUGAAUAGAAUUAAUGGAACGGAGUCAAACGUGGUUUACAUGUGUCUGAUACCAUUCCAGCCAUUACAAGGAGUCUGUCUUCCUAUAGCUCCUCCAACCAGACACACUGCCCAUCAGAGCCAUAGCUUUAGAUCUAUACUGUGUAGACCAUGGGGUUCUCAAAGUGGGGUACGUAGACACCUGGCCAGAUAUCAAAAUAUAUACUGAAUAUUACAUUUGAACCUUAAAUGUUAUAAAAUUAAUAUUACAAACAACAUAUUAAAUUGCUUUUGGCCAAAGGA